rnacentral:rRNA from 1 species
AUUGAACGCUGGCGGCAGGCCUAACACAUGCAAGUCGAGCGGAUGAAGGGAGCUUGCUCCUGGAUUCAGCGGCGGACGGGUGAGUAAUGCCUAGGAAUCUGCCUGGUGGUGGGGGAUAACGUCCGGAAACGGGCGCUAAUACCGCAUACGUCCUGAGGGAGAAAGUGGGGGAUCUUCGGACCUCACGCUAUCAGAUGAGCCUAGGUCGGAUUAGCUAGUUGGUGGGGUAAAGGCCUACCAAGGCGACGAUCCGUAACUGGUCUGAGAGGAUGAUCAGUCACACUGGAACUGAGACACGGUCCAGACUCCUACGGGAGGCAGCAGUGGGGAAUAUUGGACAGUGGGCGAAAGCCUGAUCCAGCCAUGCCGCGUGUGUGAAGAAGGUCUUCGGAUUGUAAAGCACUUUAGGUUGGGAGGAAGGGCAGUAAGUUAAUACCUUGCUGUUUUGACGUUACCAACAGAAUAAGCACCGGCUAACUUCGUG